CGGCCUGAGAGGGCGGCCGGCCACAUUUGGGACUGAGACACGGCCCAGACUCCUGCGGGAGGCAGCAGUGGGGAAUAUUGCACAAUGGGGGAAACCCUGAUGCAGCGACGCCGCGUGAGCGAUGAAGUAUCUCGGUAUGUAAAGCUCUAUCAGCAGGGAAGAAAGUGACAGUACCUGACUAAGAAGCCCCGGCUAACUACGUGCCAGCAGCCGCGGUAAUACGUAGGGGGCAAGCGUUAUCCGGAUUCACUGGGCGUAAAGGGAGCGCAGGCGGCACGGCAAGUCUGGUGUGAAAACCCGGGGCUCAACCCCGGGACUGCAUUGGAAACUGCCGGGCUGGAGUGUCGGAGGGGUAAGCGGAAUUCCUAGUGUAGCGGUGAAAUGCGUAGA
rnacentral:rRNA from 1 species